UGAAAACUGUNUGACUUGAGUGCAGAGGGGGAGAGUGGAAUUCCAUGUGUAGCGGUGAAAUGCGUAGAUAUAUGGAGGAACACCUGUGGCGAAAGCGGCUCUCUGGUCUGUCACUGACGCUGAGGCUCGAAAGCGUGGGUAGCGAACAGGAUUAGAUACCCUGGUAGUCCACGCCGUAAACGAUGAGUGCUAGGUGUUAGGCCCUUUCCGGGGCUUAGUGCCGGAGCUAACGCAAUAAGCACUCCGCCUGGGGAGUACGACCGCAAGGUUGAAACUCAAAGGAAUUGACGGGGGCCCGCACAAGCGGUGGAGCAUGUGGUUUAAUUCGAAGCAACGCGAAGAACCUUACCAGGUCUUGACAUCCCGAUGCUAUUCUUAGAGAUAGGAAGUUACUUCGGUACAUCGGAGACAGGUGGUGCAUGGUUGUCGUCAGCUCGUGUCGUGAGAUGUUGGGUUAAGUCCCGCAACGAGCGCAACCCUUAUUGUUAGUUGCCAUCAUUAAGUUGGGCACUCUAGCGAGACUGCCGGUAAUAAACCGGAGGAAGGUGGGGAUGACGUCAAAUCAUCAUGCCCCUUAUGACCUGGGCUACACACGUGCUACAAUGGUCGGUACAACGAGUUGCGAGCCGGUGACGGCAAGCUAAUCUCUGAAAGCCGAUCUCAGUUCGGAUUGGAGGC
rnacentral:rRNA from 1 species